rnacentral:rRNA from 1 species
AUAGCGUAUAUUAAAGUUGUUGCAGUUAAAAAGCUCGUAGUUGGAUCUGUGCCACGAGACUGGGUCCACCUUUUUGGUGCGUACUUAGUUCUCGGGCUUAAUGCUAGUUUUCUCGUCGUAGCCUUCACUGGCGGCGGCGGGUGGCUGGCGAGUUUACUUUGAGAAAAUCAGAGUGCUCAACACAGGCGUUUUGCUUGAAUGAUUGUGCAUGGAAUAAUAGAAAAGGAUUUCGGUCCUCUUUUAUUGGUUUUGUGGACUGAGAUAAUGGUUAACAGGGACAAACGGGGGCAUUCGUAUCGCGGCGUGAGAGGUGAAAUUCUUGGACCGUCGCGAGACGCCCUACUG